UUUUUUGGUACCAGGGAUCGAACUCGGGUCCUUGCACUUGCGCUGCAGGCGACGAAACCACUGAGCUAAAUCCCCGGCCCCUGUUACAUAUAUUUUUAAUUACCAUAGAAUUAUAAAGUGAAGUGCAAGACAGGAACAGGAGUGAUGAUUCACUCUACCUCUCCAUGUCUGUACCUCAUUACAGUCUGAAAGCUUCCUGGGAUGUCAGGAAAUGGUAUAGGUGGAAUUCCUUCUGAGCCCAAAAUUUCAGUGACCAUGGUGCACUGAGGGGUAUAGCUAUGCCUCACACACAGCAAGCACUGCAGAGAAACUGCAGUUGCAUUAAAGCCACUUUGGAUAUGAUUGUUCACUUUGCAAUAAAAUUCCAUUAAUUACCAAACCCUCGCCCAGCUUGAGUAUCAUAGGAUUUAAUUGGGUAGAAAGGUAAUUUUCAAACAAUUUUUUAGAUACAUCACUUAUUUAAAGGACCACAUACACCUAAAAAAGUAAUACUGUGGCACCUUUUGGGCUUAUAAAAAAUUGAAUGCAAUCAAGGUAACACAUGUCUAACAAAAUAAGAUAUUUUCUUUUUUAAGUGCAAAUACAGGUCCUGUUGGAGUGAAUGGAUACCACCUUCUUAUGAAAUAGCAUUUCCCUACCAUCAAGCCAUUGUUUCGUGCCAUUUAGGAGAGGGUGAAGAAAAGCAAUUCAGGCUUUGUUUCAGCUCAGUGUAUGACCAAAAGCAAUAUGUUUGUAAGAAAAUUUUUAACAUACUAAUUAUUUUAUAUCAUUUAAGUAUACUGUUGCAACUAGUUUAAUAUAUGUGAUUAAUUUUUACAAUUUCCAACCAAAUGUACUGUACAGUUAUAUAAUUAUUAUGAGAACCAUCUUAUGGAAACCAUUAAGAAGAAAAAUGGGACAAACAUCACAUUAAUCGGUAUUACCAAUUUCCUAAAAACCCUGUUCUAAUGUGAAUUUGAAAUGAUCUGACAGAGUCUCCUAAUCUCAGAUAUGUCAGUGCCGAUAGCAGUUUAAUUAGUUGCUUUGCUUACAACAGAGUAACUGAGACUUUAUUUAUUUAUGAAGCAAAUAUUCUUAAUAAUGAGAAGAUAGGCUGACAGAAAACCACUGAAGUAAGAACCUUCUGAAAUAAAAUUUUGCUUUUUAGUUUGUCCUAAGUGUUUAAUAAUGUUGAUUUUAUGUAAGGAAAAUGCUCAUGUUCCAAAUAAAGUUACAAUUUAAG
ensembl:lncRNA